rnacentral:rRNA from 1 species
UACGUAGGGUGCAAGCGUUGUCCGGAAUUAUUGGGCGUAAAGAGCUUGUAGGCGGUUUGUCGCGUCUGCUGUGAAAUUUCGGGGCUCAACCCCGAACUUGCAGUGGGUACGGGCAGACUAGAGUGUGGUAGGGGAGACUGGAAUUCCUGGUGUAGCGGUGAAAUGCGCAGAUAUCAGGAGGAACACCAGCGGCGAAGGCGGCGCUCUGGGCCGGUACUGACACUGAGGAGCGAAAGCGUGGGUAGCAAACAGG